GGUUGACAUCAGACUCUUCUCAGUUGUAACAGCGUGGGUCUGGGGGCGGUUCAUUCACGGCCCAUUUCCAAAGGGGUGUCACCAACGGACGCCACUCAAAUGCCUCUGGGCACAAUUUGAUAGAACUAAAACCAAUCAGAGCGAUGAAGGAGAUGACGAUUUAAAGUUGCU